rnacentral:rRNA from 1 species
GACGAACGCUGGCGGCGUGCUUAACACAUGCAAGUCGAGCGGAGCGGCGAACGGGUGAGUAACGCGUGAGUAACUGCCCCCCUCUCUGGGAUAACAGUUGGAAACGGCUUCUAAUACCGGAUAGUGGGGGAUGACUCGCGUCCUAUCAGCUUGUUGGUGGGGUAGUGGCCUACCAAGGGGACGACGGGUAGCCGGCCUGCGAGGGCGACCGGCCACAUUGGGCAGAGAUACGGCCCAGAUUCCGACGGGAGGCAGCAGUGGGGGAUUUUGCACACUGGGGGAAAGCCUGAUGCAGCGACGCCGCGUGGGGGAUGAAGGCGUUCGGGUUGUACCCGUCUAUCGAACAAGGCGGGGUAGGUGGAGAAGAAGCGCCGGCUAACUACGUGCCAGCAGCAGAGGUAAUUC